rnacentral:tRNA from 1 species
AAUUAGAAAGCGAAUAUUUGCACUUAGUUUCGACCUAACCCUUGGUAUAUACCUCUAAUUU